CUCUCUCCACCUAAUGGAAUAUUCGACGCCUUGUCAUGGGGAGAAUGUCAAGCUCUGAGCUGGAAGUACCUCCACGAUGCCGAAUUGUUAAGUGGAAGCGGAGCAGGCUGAAGACUGCUUGUGAGAAAAGGGAAAAAAUGCUCUUCCCUGUGUGAAACACCUCUGGAAAGAUAAACACUGAAAUCAGCGGGUGCUGGUGGGGAGAGGUGGAACACAGCAGGUUGAGACUUUCCCAGCAUGGGUUCUUCAGACCACUUGUCCUGCAAAACGAUCACCUGAGAGUAAGAGGGCCUAGGGGUCCCUUGGAGAUUCACAGGGAUGGAACACGACACAGCAAGAAAAAGAAUCAACUACACGACACACAGCAACAGGGACGAACGUCAGACGUCUCACUGAGCAAAGGAAGCACGUCCUGUACGAUUCCAUUUACGUGAAGGUCAAGGAUGGCGACAGACAGGUCAGAGUGUGGCUAAUGCGGGGGUGACUGACUUGAAGGGGGAGUGAGGGAUGCUGCUGGGA